rnacentral:rRNA from 1 species
AGCGAACGCUGGCGGCAGGCCUAACACAUGCAAGUCGAGCGACCAGCAAUGGGAGCGGCAGCCGGGAUAGUAACACGUGGGAACGUACCUUUCAGUUCGGAACAACCAAGGGAAACUUUGGCUAAUACCGAAUACGCCCGUAAGGGGAAAGAUUUAUCGCUGAAAGAUCGGCCCGCGUCUGAUUAGCUAGUUGGUGAGGUAAUGGCUCACCAAGGCGACGAUCAGUAGCUGGUCUGAGAGGAUGAUCAGCAUCACUGGGACUGAGACACGGCCCAGACUCCUACGGGAGGCAGCAGUGGGGAAUAUUGGACAAUGGGCGCAAGCCUGAUCCAGCCAUGCCGCGUGAGUGAUGAAGGCCUUAGGGUUGUAAAGCUCCUUCGUCAGGGAAGAUAAUGACGGUACCUGAAGAAGAAGCCCCGGCUAACUUCGUGCCAGCAGCCGCAGUAAGAC